rnacentral:rRNA from 1 species
GUGUCAGCAGCCGCGGUAAUACAGAGGGUGCGAGCGUUGUCCGGAAUCACUGGGCGUAAAGGGCGCGUAGGUGGCGCCCCAAGUCAGUGGUGAAAGCUCGAUGCUCAACAUCGAGUCGGCCACUGAGACUGGGGGGCUCGAGCACUGUAGAGGCAGAUGGAAUUCCGGGUGUAGCGGUGGAAUGCGUAGAGAUCCGGAAGAACACCGGUGGCGAAGGCGGUCUGCUGGGCAGUAGCUGACACUGAGGCGCGACAGCGUGGGGAGCAAACAGGAUUAGAUACCCGAGUAGUCC